rnacentral:rRNA from 1 species
GUACACGCUGUGACUAGCAUAUCAAUAAGCGGAGGAAAAGAAACUAACAAGGAUUCCCUUAGUAACGGCGAGUGAAGCGGGAAGAGCUCAAAUUUGAAAUCUUCAAGGUUUUACCUUGACGAAUUGUAGUUUAAAGAAGUGUUUUCUGUUGAAGUUUUGGUAAAAGUUCUUUGGAAUAGGACAUCAUAGAGGGUGAGAAUCCCGUAUUUGACCAUUUACUUUCAGCUGUGUGAUACACUUUCAAAGAGUCGGAUUGUUUGGGAAUGCAGUCCAAAAUGGGUGGUAAAUUUCAUCUAAAGCUAAAUAUUGGCGAGAGACCGAUAGCGAACAAGUACCGUGAGGGAAAGAUGAAAAGAACUUUGAAAAGAGAGUUAAACAGUACGUGAAAUUGUCAAAAGGGAAGCGUUUGACACCAGUGUUGUUUUUCUGAAAAUCAAUUAAAGAACUGUUUAUGCUAAGUUGUUUAGACUUUAUCAGCUAUACUGCUUAGUUUUGAGCUUUUCUUUAAUGCACUUUUCAGUUAACAAGUCAACAUCAAUUUCUUUUGCUGUAAAAAAGCUUGAGGAAGGUGGCUUGAGAUUCGUCUUAAGUGUUUAUAGCCUCUUGCCUAUGCAGUCGGAGAGAUUGAGGUCUGCAGCGUAGAUCCUUCGGGGCUAAAUGCAUUUGUGCUAAGUUAUAGCAUUUUAUAGACAACUUGUUGACUAUGAUUUGUCUUGUAGCUUACUCGCUUAUGCUAUUUUACCUACGCUUAGGAUGUUGACGCAUGAGAUAUACGC